rnacentral:rRNA from 1 species
GUUUGGGGAACGUCUAAAGAGAACUGCCCGGUGGACAAAACCGGAGGAAAGGUGGGGAUGACGUCAAAUCAUCAUGCCCCUUAUGACCUGGGCUACACACGUACUACAAUGGCGCAUACAACGGGAAGCGAAGUGGUGACAUGGAGCAAAUCUCAAAAAGUGCGUCUCAGUUCAGAUUGAAGUCUGCAACUCGACUUCAUGAAGUCGGAAUCGCUAGUAAUCGCGGAUCAGAAUGCCGCGGUGAAUACGUUCUCGGGCCUU